GGCAAACUGCUCAGUAACACGUAGCUAACCUACCCUCAGGACGGAGACAACCCCGGGAAACUGGGGUUAAUCUCCGAUAGGCGUGGAUUCCUGGAAUGGUGUCACGCCGAAACGUUAACACACCAUGUUUGUGUACACGCCUGAGGAUGGGGCUGCGGCCGAUCAGGCAGUUGGUGAGGUAACGGCUCACCAAACCUUUGACCGGUACGGGCCGUGAGAGCGGUAGCCCGGAGAUGGACACUGAGACAAGGGUCCAGGACCUACGGGUCGCAGCCGGUACGAAACCUCCACAAUGCACGCAAGUGCGAUGGGGUUACCUCGAGUGCCGCCUGAAGAAGGCGGCUUUUCCAUUGUGUAAUGAGCCGUGGGAAUAAGGGGGGGGCAAGACUGGUGUCAGCCGCCGCGGUAACACCAGCCCCCCGAGUGGUGGGGAUGUUUAUUUGGCCUAAAACGUCCGUAGCCAGCUAGGUAAAUCUCUCGUUAAAUCCAGCGUCCUAAGCGUUGGGCUGCGAGAGAGACUGCCAAGCUAGAGGGUGGGAGAGGUCAGCGGUAUUUCUGGGGUAGGGGCGAAACCCAUUGAUCCCAGGAGGACCGCCAGUGGCGAAGGCUGCUGACUAGAACACGCCUGACGGUGAGGGACGAAAGCUGGGGUAGCGAAUCGGAUUAGAUACCCGAGUAGUCCCAGCCGUAAACGAUGCAGGCUAGGUGUUGGGUUGGCCACGUGCCGACUCAGUGCCACAGGGAAGCCAUUAAGCCUGCUGCCUGGGGAGUACGGUCGCAAGGCUGAAACUUAAAGGAAUUGGCGGGAGAGCACCACCAGGCGUGAAGCCUGCGGUUU
rnacentral:rRNA from 1 species